UACGUAGGGUGCGAGCGUUAAUCGGAAUUACUGGGCGUAAAGCGUGCGCAGGCGGUUUUGUAAGACAGGGGUGAAAUCCCCCGGCUCAACCUGGGAAUGGCGCUUGUGACUGCAAGGCUGGAGGGCGGCAGAGGGGGAUGGAAUUCCGCGUGUAGCAGUGAAAUGCGUAGAUAUGCGGGGGAACACCGAUGGCGGAGGCAAUCCCCUGGGCCUGCACUUACGCUCAUGCACGAAAGCGUGGGGAGCAAACAGG
rnacentral:rRNA from 1 species